AGCGAACGCUGGCGGCAGGCCUAACACAUGCAAGUCGAACGAAGUCUUCGGACUUAGUGGCGGACGGGUGAGUAACACGUGGGAACGUACCUUUUGGUUCGGAACAACUCAGGGAAACUUGGGCUAAUACCGGAUGAGCCCUUAGGGGGAAAGAUUUAUCGCCGAAAGAGCGGCCCGCGUUAGAUUAGCUAGUUGGUGAGGUAAAGGCCCACCAAGGCUACGAUCUAUAGCUGGUCUGAGAGGAUGAUCAGCCACACUGGGACUGAGACACGGCCCAGACUCCUACGGGAGGCAGCAGUGGGGAAUCUUGCGCAAUGGGCGAAAGCCUGACGCAGCCAUGCCGCGUGAAUGAUGAAGGUCUUAGGAUUGUAAAAUUCUUUUACCAGGGACGAUAAUGACGGUACCUGGAGAAAAAGCCCCGGCUAACUUCGUGCCAGCCGCCGCGGUAA
rnacentral:rRNA from 1 species